rnacentral:rRNA from 1 species
AACGAACGCUGGCGGCAUGCCUAACACAUGCAAGUCGAACGAGACCUUCGGGUCUAGUGUCGCACGGGUGCGUAACGCGUGGGAACCUGCCCUUAGGUUCGGAAUAACUCCCCGAAAGGGGUGCUAAUACCGGAUAAUGUCUUCGGACCAAAGAUUUAUCGCCUUUGGAUGGGCCCGCGUUGGAUUAGCUAGUUGGUAGGGUAAAAGCCUACAAAGGCGACGAUCCAUAGCUGGUCUGAGAGGAUGAUCAGCCACACUGGGACUGAGACGCGGCCCAGACUCCUACGGGAGGCAGCAGUGGGGAAUAUUGGACAGUGGGCGAAAGCCUGAUCCAGCAAUGCCGCGUGAGUGAUGAAGGCCUUAGGGUUGUAAAGCUCUUUUACCCGGGAUGAUAAUGACAGUACCGGGAGAAUAAGCUCCGGCUAACUCCGUG